GUGAAAGUUUCAUUUGAUCUAAGCAACAUUCAGAUCAAAUACAUGGAUGACGAUAAUGAUGAG
rfam:Chelonia mydas contig151496, whole genome shotgun sequence.